GACAAUCACUACCAUGGCAACCAAGCCUCUGUGACGUUCCAGCAAGCUCAUUGUCUUCUCUUCACUAAACUUUAGUUAGUAGUUGGUCCCAGUCAGUAACACUCUGGGAGGGCUCAGGCCACAUCACGAAAUGUGACAGGAUAGCCUUGAACUCAUCAAUUGCUGGGGGCACCUCAAACUCAACUCCAAAAUUGAUCUAAUGAACUUUCCCAAACCACAUUCCCUUCUUGCAUUUCUGAGAGAAUGGAUUCCCAUUCAUCUGACUACAGUGCUACCCUGAAAGCAGAUCCAGAGACUAAGAUUCACCUGCAGGUGAUUCAUUUGCAAGGUAAGCUGUCAUCAGUUGGAGGUAAGCGGAAGACAGUAGAGAGUACAGAGCCCUGGACUGUGACUCAGAGGAUGAGCACCAGAUCCAGUUUGCUGUGCCACAGUGUGGAUUUUUAUCUGAGAUCUACAACUUAUGAAGAAUACAAAUGAUGUAUAUUCUUUUCUACUCUUCAUGUAUGGACUAGAGGGGCUUGCACAUAAGAAAAAAAUGGCUGAGACCCACAGGAACAAAGAAACAGGACAGGAGUUAGAUGCAGAGAAGAGAUUUCAACAAAAGUUUGGAAAAGAUGCUAACGGUAGCAUAUGAGUCACAGACAGAACAUUGGCACCUUUGUUUAAGAAACUGAAUGUUAAUGUCACAUCUGCCUUUGGAGAUUACAAAUGAAAUGGCUACCUUUCUACUGGAACCCUGACCAGAAGUCUGCCAGUUAGUAAGCUGGCUUAAGAGAUCAAUCUAAAAUUUACAUAAGGCUUUUGAAAAAAAGAAAAAAGAACCCAAAGGCACAGAUUGACGUUAUAAGUCCUGAUUUUUGACUUGACUUCUCAUCACCUGGAAGUGAAUAAAGCAGUAGACUUCUCUAACAUUUUGUAACACAGCAUGAAAAAAUAUAGAGUACAAAAGAUAUAUAUAUAUAAUAUGAUAAAAUGA
rnacentral:lncRNA from 1 species